GCUUACGGCCAUACCAGCCUGAA
rnacentral:rRNA from 6 species